UACGUAGGGUGCAAGCGUUAAUCGGAAUUACUGGGCGUAAAGCGUGCGCAGGCGGUUUUGUAAGUCUGACGUGAAAUCCCCGGGCUCAACCUGGGAAUUGCGUUGGAGACUGCAAGGCUGGAGUCUGGCAGAGGGGGGUGGAAUUCCACGUGUAGCAGUGAAAUGCGUAGAGAUGUGGAGGAACACCGAUGGCGAAGGCAGCCCCCUGGGUCAAGACUGACGCUCAGGCACGAAAGCGUGGGGAGCAAACAGG
rnacentral:rRNA from 1 species